ACAUAUAGAGUUCGCCCCAGAUUGUUAAAACCAAAUCAAAUGCAUGCAGCAACCUUCACUCCUAAUCCCUCCUUCCUUCAACGUUUGUAUAGGGUUUUGUUUCAAGUAUUUGAGGUUACCUGAAUCAUUUUGGAUCUGCAGUGAGUUACUUCUGAUACUAUAAAAUGAUUAAAGACGUGAUGGAGGCAAUACGUUUUGCAUGGUCACCUAGUUCUUGGAACAUGUUUCUCUGGGGUAUCGCUCUCUAUUCUUCCUACUGGAAAUUACUUAAAGCAAGUAUAUUUGGAUCGAAGUCUACUCCCAAUUCUAGUUCCAUUGGUCCAAAGUUUGGAUCUCCAAGACCUAUUUGUGUUAUCACUGGUCCUACUUCUGGAAUUGGUAAGGCCACUGCAUUUUCUCUUGCAGAGAAGGGCUUCCACGUUGUUCUUGUUGGAAGGUCUCCUCAGCUUCUUUCAGAGACUUUGGAAGAAAUCAAGAGCAAGCACGAAGAUGCACUACUCAAAUCUUUCGUAGUUGACAUGUCUUGUUUUUCAUCAAUUUUCAAUUUUAAAGAUUCUCUAGAGCAAUGGCUCUCGGACGAAGAGUUACAUCCUUCAAUUCAGCUUUUAGUGAACAAUGCUGGGAUCAUGGCAGUGUACAGCCGACCACUCGCUAAUGGCUAUGACAGGAUGAUGACUACAAACUAUAUUGGUCCAUUCACUAUGACCAAACUUCUUUUACCACUUCUGAAAAACAGCUCUGUGCCUUCACGGGUCGUGAACGUUGCAUCUUUCUCACAUCGUUAUGCUUCUAUUGGGAAGCUUGACAAGGAUUAUGUAACUGGAGAACAUUUCACGACAUUUGACGAAUAUCCUCAUGCUCAUGUCUACGAGUACUCUAAAUUAUGUCUUCUACUUUUCUCCUAUGAAUUGCACAGACAGCUUCGCCUCAAAGAUGAUUCACACCAUGUCUCUGUUAUAGCUGCAGAUCCUGGAUUUGUGAAAACAAAUCUACUGCGCGAGUUUCCUAAAUACUCAUCUGCUUCUGCGUUUCUCUUUUUCAAACUUAUUGGCCUCCUCCAAACCCCUGAUGAUGGAGCUGAAUCUUCUGUCGAUGCAGCUUUAGCUCCACCAGAAACAUCAGGCGUUUACUAUUUUGGAGGAAAAGGAAGGACCAUUAAAUCGUCAAAAGCUUCUAGAGAUCCCAAACUUGGUAAAGAACUUUGGGAAACUUCUUGUGGUUUGUUCAAGGAGUUGCAGCCAUACAACGACUAAAUCAAAAACUCGCAUGGUUCAUAAGAUUCUUAUUUCAACAGUAAACGGUGGUACACAUAAACUGAAAUCAGUGCUUUUCAGUUUGGUUUCUCUGUUUGAUGUAAACCCAUAUGCCAAGAUCCGCAAAACCAGGUUUCUCGAUGUUGAAUUCAAAUUUGAAUCUUACUUACUCUUUCUCUCCAUCUAAAUUAAGUCCAACC